UGGGGCACCGAGCUGCGGACCCGGGAACUCGCUGGAAACGCAAAUUCUCGGCCCUCGCCCAGACCCUCCGAAUCGAAACUCCUGCGGCGCGCGCCCUGCCAGCCCGAGGACCCCGCCGUCCAGGGGGCUCCUGACAUCUCCCACGUGCAGGACUGAAGCUGCAAGGAGCGGAGAACCCGGCCAGGCCCAGACCUGCUGCCUGCAAGACCUCACCCAAGCACCAGGUGGACACCCAGACCCAGCUCCUGACCUGGACCCCUCUCCCCUGAGAGUGGACCUGCUCAGGCCACGCCCUCACACCCCUCACCCAGACACAGCCACCAGGACUUCAACCACGUGCUUUCAUCACGCAGGUGGGGUGCCUGGCGCCUCCUUGAUGCCAGGCCUUGGGGAGACCUGUGGCCACAGAACUCAUGUUCUCCCUAGAGGUGGACAGCGUGCCCCUCUCCUAUGCAGAAGCUGUCGUUCUUUCUUCUUAAACACCGUUUGCACCCUCCCUCCACCCACUGACCCAUCUCUGCCUCUCUCUACAGCAAAGCUUCUGCCAAGCCGCCCUGCUCCCCCUCUACCUCCCCUGCCACCACCCACUUCCACAUUUUAAAUACAAGGGUCGGUUCUCAGA